ensembl:lncRNA
ACAGAAUAGGGAUGUUGGUGCCAUCUGACUGCUACAGCUGAUGGGGCAGGAAAAAGCACUGAGGGUGACUGACAGUGGAAAAAGUCCUCAAGAUUGAUGUCUUUCUUAUGGGAUAGCACAGCCAGCUGCAGGGUUGGAUUCCUCCAUCUCAGCCUGGAUGGUUGAGAUGGGGAGCAUCUGUGCGGCUCAUCCUGGCCCCCCAAAGGCCUCGUUUUGUCUGGCCGUUGGUUUGUUUGCUGACUGCUCCAUUGCUGUGGGUUAGGAGCACAGAGCAGAGUAGCCGUGGGGAGAGAAGCAGUCUGAAAUCUGUUCCCAGAUGGUGAUGGCCGGGGAUGUUUGAUGCCCAGAAAACACUGUGGUGUGUUAGAGAUGCUUCUGAGUAGCCCAUGCUGGUGUUUAGGAUUCAGCUGAUGUUGGGCUCAGCUGAAAAAUAUCAGCAGUGAAGGAGAGCAGCAUCUCCAGCUUGCAGCCAAGUCCUGCUGUGAGAAUCUCCCAUUUGGGGUGCUGGAGUUGCUCACGUGCCCACCAAGGCACAGUGGUGAGUGAUCCACUCCCAGCAGCUUGGGCAAGGGGAGGACAAGGCAGGAGGAACCCCAGAGCACCACGGGGAAGUUCAUGCUGCUGAGACCUGCUUUGGAGCUGCUCCCACCGCCUGCUUCAUCGCACUGCUGAGGACGUUCAUCCUCCUCUGCCUUGGUGCAGGAGCUGCUUGUGCCAGUGACACCAACAUGAGCUGCCAAAACACCAAACACCAACAGCCAGUCCUGCCCGGGUGAGCGGAGCACGAGAACACACCAUCUCCUCCCCAUAACUUGGCACUCUGAGGUUAGCGAGAGCGUUCUCAGAGCAAACCCCAUCCUACACGAGCCGUUGCUGGUGAGACCCACCUGCGUGCGCUGCGCUGUGGAGCAGGAUCAGCAUUGCCAUCCAGGCUCUGCCUGUGCCCGAUGCACAAAACCGUGUGUUUGAGGAAGUACUUCUGGAGUUUGAAAAGAUGUCUGAAACGCUCCCGGUGGGCUUGGUGCCUCGCUGCAGUAAACACAGGACCGUUGUACAGCUCUGUGCUCCAUGCCGGCUCAGCAGGCUUCCAACAGGACAAGUACAGGCACACCUGCA